CUUUACCCUUUAUGUUUGUGCUGCUUUUGGAUUCAAUUCGAAUCAAAUAACGUAGUUGGUCUUGAUAUGAAUUCUCUCCACAACAAUAAUUAGGGGUUUUUGUUUAAAUUAUCACUGAUUUGCUUUGAUUUGGCUUUGAAUCUUUGUUAAUUUGGACUGCAGGUGGUUCUGAUAUGGAGGAGAAGCUUCAAGAGCUUAUGAUCUUGCCGACUUAAGUACGGUCCUUCUUCAACUCAUAUAAACUUUCGGUCCAAUACUAGGACCACCCAAUGUUAGAAGUCUGGAUCCGCCAUUGCCACGAGGCGCUCGUAAGAUGUUCCUGGUUUUGAGCCUAAUCGGAAUCUGCCAAGGUCGGGGGAGGGGGGCACUUAUCCAGAUCUCCAGCGUUUUGGGAGUGGCUCAGAUUUCAUUUAGAUAUAUGUUAUCAAAGACAUGUUCCUUUGUAAACUUAUUCAGCGUUUUGUAAAUCCACAUUUUUGUUUUGUUUGAAUAGAUAAUUAAGUCCUUGAAUGCAACUGUUGUUAGAACAUUAUUAUUUUUA